rnacentral:tRNA from 1 species
GCCGCAGAAAACUAGGCUGGGCGUUUCGUUCGUAAUGCGGGGGUCACAGGUUCGAGUCCUGUAAGCGGCACCA